GUCCACCGGCUACGCAGACCAACGGCAAGUUGGCACACCAGGUCAGGCGCCUGCAUGGGUGCCCAAAAGUCUCAAGAUCUGACCUUGGAGAGACCAGGUCCAGGAGGCUGCUGGGAAGUCUCCAUUACACUGGCCUCAGUCGAGUCACAGGAAUGCAGGCUCUGCCAUGCCCAGGAGCCUGAGAUGCAACUUCAAGGACAACCAGAGCCAGAACACUUGGCCUCACAUAGAAGGUGCCUCCUAACCACCACAAUUAACGUAGCACCAGCACACAGAGAUUAGGCCUACACCAAUGGCUAAUUGAGGCCAUGCAUCACUAUUAAGGUGUCUUCACCAAAAGGAACCAUGGAAGUUCUGCAUGAAACAUAGAAACCAGUUAGAAAAGGAGCUAAAUUUCAAACAGAGAAUGUGGUGUUCAAUCACAGAGAAGUGUCCAGAAGGAACUCCUGAAGUACUGUUUUCCAAAGUACAGAAUGAUAUAGAAAAUUGUUUUAGGUGGAAUUCCUGAAGAUAAAUUUUUAAAUGUUUCUUUUU